rnacentral:lncRNA from 1 species
UGGAUUUUGUCAGUUUAGAGUGGAGUUGUUUAUUUGUCGAUGUGUGGUGACGUCAUCAAGCAGCUGGUUAGGUUCUGAGAGCUGGGGAGUCUUGAGUAAUUAGAUGAAAGAACCCACUGCAACUGGACACGGACAUUUAUAAGGCACCCUUUCACCGAUCGAGAACGAAGACGGUGUCGCAAGAGCAGGUUAGUUGAAAAAUCAAUUUCAACGUUUUGUAUAAGCUAACGUUAACCUGUAAUGGAAACAUGGUUAUUACAUAUCUGGCGUACAUAUAGCUUACAUAA